rnacentral:rRNA from 1 species
AAGUCGAGCGGAAGGNCCUUCGGGGUACUCGAGCGGCGAACGGGUGAGUAACACGUGAGUAACCUGCCCUUGGCUCUGGGAUAAGCCCGGGAAACUGGGUCUAAUACCGGAUAUGACCACCGGCCGCAUGGCUGGUGGUGGAAAGUUUUUCGGCUGGGGAUGGACUCGCGGUCUAUCAGCUUGUUGGUGGGGUGAUGGCCUACCAAGGCGACGACGGAUAGCCGGCCUGAGAGGGUGACCGGCCACACUGGGACUGAGACACGGCCCAGACUCCUACGGGAGGCAGCAGUGGGGAAUAUUGCGCAAUGGGCGAAAGCCUGACGCAGCGACGCCGCGUGGGGGAUGAAGGCCUUCGGGUUGUAAACCUCUUUCACCACCGACGAAGCUAACGUGACGGUAGGUGGGGAAGAAGCGCCGGCUAACUACGUGCCAGCAGCCGCGGUAAUACGUAGGGCGCAAGCGUUGUCCGGAAUUAUUGGGCGUAAAGAGCUCGUAGGCGGUCUGUCGCGUCUGCCGUGAAAACCCGAGGCUUAACCUCGGGCUGGCGGUGGAUACGGGCAGACUAGAGGUAGGUAGGGGAGAAUGGAAUUCCCGGUGUAGCGGUGAAAUGCGCAGAUAUCGGGAGGAACACCGGUGGCGAAGGCGGUUCUCUGGGCCUUACCUGACGCUGANGAGCGAAAGCGUGGGGAGCGAACAGGAUUAGAUACCCUGGUAGUCCACGCCGUAAACGUUGGGCGCUAGGUGUGGGGUCCUUCCACGGAUUCCGUGCCGUAGCUAACGCAUUAAGCGCCCCGCCUGGGGGAGUACGGCCGCAAGGCUAAAACUCNAAGGAAUUGACNGGGGCCCGCACAAGCGGCGGAGCAUGUUGCUUAAUUCGACGCNACGCGAAGAACCUUACC